GAGGACAUGACUACCUUGGAUAAGAGCAAAAAUAUUGCAUACAUGCAUAUUUGUCAGGUGAUUUCUAGUGCAAACUAUUCAAUAAUAUAUUUAUGUUAUCCAGAACAAAAAUACUUCACAUAUUUUUGUGUUUUGUCUAAUUGCAGGUGUAUGGGACAUUUGUACAAUCCACAUAUGAAGAUAAGGGAAAAGGAGAAGUUUAGGUGCUGUUCAAAAAGUCUUCUCACGUCACUUUUGGGCCAAGAGAAGAUAGAGUCCAAGUUUCUCACGUUCUGGAUUCAGAUUCGGACUGCACAGACAUACCUGACUCAAAACGCCAACAACUUUUACAUACGGACUCCGAAUUGGGUGAUUCUUUUUUUGUUCGAUUCUAGAUUUUGUGCUCUUUCCAGCCCAAUUGGAUUCACCUUCAAAUUCGUCCGGAGCGUUGAGAUAUCGACGAAACAAUCAGACGCUGCAGCAGAAUCCGAGUCAAACAACAAGUCCAAAGGUGUUGCAUCACCUCCACUUGGGCCCAUUGGCCUUGUACGACCUAGGGUUAGUUUUAGGCCGCCUUGGGACGUCCUCCCACCUCCUAGGCCGCCACCCCUUGCUCCUAUAUAAGUAGAUCCAUCUAGUAGCUUUUCCCUUGGGAUUUGUUUAGUUAAAAGUUAGCCAUUGCAACUUCGUGUACUUCGUUUGUGUCCAACGACCAGACCAAGACCGCUUACGGAUCCCCACCUUUAUCAAUACUUCAUCUAUAUUCACAAUAUUCAGAUUGUUUUAUCGUAUUCUUGCUUGUUCUUCGAUUGCUUGCAGGAAUAGACCUUCGUGGUCAGGUUGAUUGUGCUCCGGCAUGGUCAAUAACCUCUCAAAGUUGGUUUAGCGAUUGCUAAGGCGCAACGUCGUGCACGUUUGUAGUCGGAUCGUCAAAGUCAUCUUCACCAAAUCGAUAGUUAUCAUCUCAUCGAAAGAUCUGGACACCCCGCCUCUAUCAAGUGGUAUCAGAUUUUCAGGUUGCUCGGUGAGAAUUUCUAGUUUUUCCUAGAUUAGAUUUAUUUUCUUACCUAUUGUCCAAGAAAAAGCCACAAAAUAAAAGUUAGAUCUAUUCAUCCUUUGUCCUAGCCAGACUGAGCCUUUGCAUUUUUCUUUUCAUUGUUUGCAUUAUUGAAUUAUCGGUUGCAUCGCCGUGUCGAGUUGCUGGUCUUAGUGUCUAGUUCCUUUAGAGUUUCGAGUUCUGUUCACAUUAGUCACGCCGCCGCUGCAUCAUUAUCCCUUCCUCUGUCCACCAUCCCAUCCAUCAGCUUUCACCAUGCGUUACGCACUGUUCGUUGUCAUAAUCAUAGUUGAGGUCAUUCACAUCUUCGCCUGAUCCAAUCUGCAUCUUAUCUAGUUUGUCUUGGAAAGAGGGAGAAAAAAAAGAUAGAGAAAAAAAAAGAAAAAAAGUGUGAGAAAAAAAGAGAGAAGAGAAAAAAAAUAAAAUUCGGAUCUAUCUAGACUCAAUCUCGUAGUUGAAUUCGGACUGGAAUCUGUUUUGUGCACUGUUCAGUAAAAAAGGCAUAACUUCCUCAUACGAACUCCGUUUUGGCUCCACAAGUACUCAAAUUAAAGCUAGCGACUAAACGCAUCUGAAUAGUUACAAAAUCUAGUUCAAUAUUUGGCGCCUCAAAAUCAGCUUCUAAAUAGGUCUUUUUGCCCUCCAAAGUCCGCAUAUACAGUUUGUUCCAGUUUUUCAGGCCAGUUUUAAAAUUCUUUGACUCCUUAUAUCAAUUCGGAAUUGAGUGAUUCUUUUUGCAUUAGUAAGCUUGAGUUAGUAGCAAACUUUUCAAGAGAAAAGUUGGAGGAGAGUUGUUAUAUAUCCUGCUUGGCAGUUGUUAUUCAUCAUUAUCUUUACUGUCGUUGUGAUCUUCACUUAUAUCUUGCUGUCCAGAGCUACUUAUCCUUCAUUGAUGCUAGUUGUGCUAUGUCGUGACCUCAUUAGUGUUCUAGGCUCGCGUCUCUAGUCCGGUCUAGCCUAGGACCAGCACAGUACCGUCGUUGAACGUUUAUUCAACAUUGCAUCUUUAAAUUGAUUAUUGCUAAUCUUUUGCUACCAUAUAUAGCCAACCCAGCUCCACAUAUUUCUACACCGUGUAUACGUACGUUCCCCUGGCAAUCGCUUUACACAAUCUUCAGAGUUACUUGACACCGCUGGUUGCCUGUCACCACCUGCCGCAUGGUAAAAACUUGUAAGACAUUGAUAUUUGAUUUACUGUGAGCAUUUUACCACCACAUCCUAGUAGUUAUAGGAACAUUAUUUUUGGAUUUUGUUUCUUGUUCUACUAAUCAUGACAGGAUCCAGAGUCAAUUCAUGGGCUUUGUCGAUCGCGGGAGACAUGCCACCACCUAUGCAAAUACCACAACCGUCACGAGAGGUGCACAAACAUCCAAAUGCACAUGAUCAGGUUCAUGUUUUUAUACCACCAUUUAAUGGCCGUUUUAGACCAGCUUUAUAUAUUGAAUGGGAGUUAGACAUAAAUAAUAUAUUUGCUUCCCAUAAUUUUGAUGAACGUAAAAAAGUUACGGUUGCGGUUGGUUCUUUCAUUGGUUAUGCUCUAGUUUGGUGGAGUGAAUAUUGUCGGUUACACCCUGAUUAUGUACCUAAUACUUGGGAUGAUUUAAAACAUGUCAUGAGAGAUAGAUUCGUCGAUGUUUAUUAUACUCGUGGCAUGAUUAAAAAACUGGAACAUUUAAAACAAGGUAGUGACACCGUAACAAAAUAUUAUGAUGAUUUACAAACUACCUUGUUGCACUCAUUUUUAGAAGAAAGUGAAGAAGAUUUUAUAGAUAGAUUUUGGGGAGGAUUAAACCAUAAUAUUCAGGAGAUACUAAUUCAUGAAGAGUGUUAUCCUAUGGACCAUUUGUUUCGUCUUGCUUGCAAAGCUGAACAGGAAAUAAAACGACGUGUUGCCCACAAGGAGAACAAGCCCACGGUGCACAUUCCAACUGUUGAUACAGAUGUUUAUUCAACUACUAGGCGUACUAUGACAACCACAUCCGUUGUUGCGAGGACUACAUCAUCUCCACCAUGUGACACAUCACCAUCGAGAGUGCCUGCAUCAUCUGAGUUGACUAUAAGAGGUAAUGAUAAAGGUACAGAUUUUCCACUUUUACAUGAGAAUGAUGCAUGCCUAGUUAACUUGAAUACAUCAUGUGUUGAGCUAUCCACUACUUUGAUCACACCACCUAUUUUAGAGGAUUAUAUUGAUAAUUUGACUUUGUCAUGUGAUCAAACAACUGAAAUACCAACAAUUUUGAGAGCACCCAUUGAAUUAACUGUUGAUGCAAAAGAAUCAAUGUUUAAUCAUUUUGAUAUGACCUCUAAUCUUGGUGAUGAUUCUGUGUCGAAUGACUCAUUACAUGUUUGCUUAUCUAAGCAUGUUGUAGCAUGUAAAUUUGAUUCAAAUAAGGUUUAUUCACCAAUGUAGGGAUGGUUUAAUGAUGAACAUUGUCAAUCUUUUGAAAUAAAUAAGAGCUUCACUUAUAUGUGCAAACUAAGUUGCAAUAUUUUCAUGCCUUCUAGUUCUUGUGCUAAUUUGUUGGCUUAGAUUUUAUGAACUAUGCAAGUUACUCAUCUAUUCAUGUGUCAUAUAUGCAAAAAUCAAGGGAAGUAAAAAUGGAUGACGUAUACAUAUACAAGAUGUACACCUUGUCUCUUUUGUUAGCCACAUUUCAGAUUAAGCAACACCGAGGACGGCUUUGUUUUCAAGAAGGGGAGGAUGAUGAGUACAUGACUACCUUGGAUAAGACCAAAAAUAUUGCAUACAUGCAUAUUUGUCAGGUGAUUUCUAGUGCAAACUAUUCAAUAAUAUAUUUAUGUUAUCCAGAACAAAAAUACUUCACAUACUUUUGUGUUUUGUCUAAUUGCAGGUGUAUGGGACAUUUGUACAAUCCACAUAUGAAGAUAAGGGAAAAGGAGAAGUUUAGGUUCUGUUCAAAAAGUCCUCUCACAUCACUUUUGGGCCAAGAGAAGAUAGAGUCCAAUUUUCUCAUGUUCUAGAUUCAGAUUCGGACUGCACAGACAUACCUGACUCAAAACGCCAACAACUUUUACAUACGG
rnacentral:lncRNA from 1 species